UGGAGAUUUGGGGAGAGUGGCAAGCUUGGUGAAAGCAUGGGAGCUCUGUGCCCUUUUCCCACACCUUGCCCUAUGCAUCUCUUCCAUCUGGCUGUUCCUGAAUUUGUAAAAUCAAAACUCGUUGAUGAAGUCCUAAUGGAGGCCACAGUUAAGAAGCUAUUUUUAGGUGUACAGUUCAGUGGCAUGAAGUUACGUUCAAGUUGUGGAAUCAUCACCACCAUCCAUCUUCAGAACUUUUUCAUCUUCCCAAACUGAAACUUUAUAACUGUUAAACAAGAACUCCUAUUCUCUCCCAGCCCUGGCAGUCAUUCUCUUUUCUGUCUCUCAUGUAUUUGAUUACUCUAGGUACCUCGUAUAAUUGGAAUCAUUCAACAUUUU
rnacentral:lncRNA from 1 species